rnacentral:misc_RNA from 1 species
GAAUGAGUGAAAGCUCAAAUGAAAGCCACAUCUGCUACAAAGUGAAAGCAAUGAAAAUCACUCAGAAAAAUCUCAAGAACAUCAACCAAAUGAAACAUAGUUUCACUUUUCUUCAAUGGAAGAUGGCCAAGCCAUUUUUUGCUUCGCUGGGAACAUUUAGAAAGUUUCAUCUUCUCAAGGCUAUUAAUUCAUCCAUUUUCACAUACAACUGUUGUG